rnacentral:rRNA from 1 species
UGCAAGUCGAACGCGAAAGUCCUUCGGGGCGAGUAGAGUGGCGGACGGGUGAGUAAUACGUGGGAAUCUGCCUGGUAGUGGGGGACAACCCGGGGAAACUCGGGCUAAUACCGCAUACGUUCUACGGAAGAAAGGGGGCCUCUGCUUGCAUGCUCUCGCUACCAGAUGAGCCCACGUCCGAUUAGCUAGUUGGUAGGGUAAAGGCCUACCAAGGCGACGAUCGGUAGCUGGUCUGAGAGGAUGACCAGCCACACUGGGACUGAGACACGGCCCAGACUCCUACGGGAGGCAGCAGUGGGGAAUAUUGGACAAUGGGCGAAAGCCUGAUCCAGCAAUGCCGCGUGUGUGAAGAAGGCCUGCGGGUUGUAAAGCACUUUCAGUGGGGAAGAAAAGCCUAGGGUGAAUAUCCCUGGGUCUUGACGUUACCUACAGAAGAAGCACCGGCUAACUCCGUGCCAGCAGCCGCGGUAAUACGGAGGGUGCGAGCGUUAAUCGGAAUUACUGGGCGUAAAGCGCGCGUAGGUGGUUAGGUAAGUCAGAUGUGAAAGCCCCGGGCUUAACCUGGGAACUGCAUUUGAUACUGCCUGGCUAGAGUA